UUUGCUUGUUCAAGGAUGUUGUUCUGUUGUUUCCUUUAGAAACCGCUGAGGGGCAGCAGGUUUUCACAUGGAAACGGCCUUUCAAGUGUAAGGAAAGCUGGAGCUAUCUGAAAAGCCAUUAGAGGGCUGCUCCCGAGUGCUGUCGGCGUGCACAGAGCCAUCUGGAGGCAGUGUUCGCACAGGUUGCUUCAGGAUACAUCUUUGAUUUUCCAUGGAUUUGUAAUACUGUGAUGCUCCUGUGAAGCGCUUUUUUAGAAAAACCUUUGUAG
rnacentral:lncRNA from 1 species